UGAUGGGUGGGCGCCGUUUGGGCCGGGAAUUGUGACGACGGAGGUGUUGGGUGAUGCGAGGGAUUUGGGGAUUGGGACAAAGCUAAAUGGCGUGGUUGUGCAGAAGAGUUCAACGAGAGAUCUGAUUUUUGGCGUCAAGAGCGCCGUUUCGUGGUUAUCUAAGGGGUGUACGUUGGGGCCGGGCGAUUUGAUUUUUACCGGGACGCCUCGGGGGGUAGGCAUGGGUAGGAACCCGCCGCUAUGGCUGAAGCAUGGUGAUAUGGUUGAGGUAUCGCUUGAAGGCGUGGGGACUUGCCAGAACAGAGUUGUUUUCGAGGGUCAUACCGCUAGGCUGUAAUGAGUGGAUGAAUCCAUGCACGGUAAUGGGGUGUUAAUUUCAAAGGAAGAAGGAAGGAAGCGGGUUCCAUGAGGAGGCCAGUUACAGUGAUUUGCAGUCAGUAAGUAUCACAGCCGUAGAGGGAUUAAGACAUCUAGCUCCAGCAAAGAGCAUCAGUAGAUCUAGAGACAGCUCAUAUACCCACAUAGAGCGAGACUAAAUCAAGUUGCUUCAAAACGGAAAAGCUCGAAUCAAGUACAAAUCAACAUCUUAAGGAAAUAAGAUCAGAAACCCCGUCUCAACCUGUCUCAACCCCGUCCCAUCCAUCAUUUCAUCUUCCCCAACAAGUUACUCAGCUCAAUUAGUUGCCCUUCCAUACCCUAUAAUACCUUCCGCAAAUGCCCAGCUCUGGUUCUCCAACCGCUCAUUCUCCUUCAUCUCCACUCCAUCCUUCUUCACUACCGCAAUCGAGUACCGAUCAGUACUUCUCGCAUCACGAUAGAACAACACCUUCAUACAUUCCUGCAGCGCCCUAACCGCCUGCUCCUCUUUGACAUUCUCCAGUGGGACCUCCUCCGGAAACAGCCUCCGCAAUACUGGGAUGGCCAGAUGCGCUCCAAAUCCCGUAGCCAGGUGCGGCGCAGAGUAUGUGUUGCCCAGCAGAUCGACGGAGCUGAGGAAGGGCUUCUCCUCGCCGUCAAAGCCUGCAACGAGGAUGACAUUCCACAAAGGGUUGAAUUCCGACCGUCGCCUGUACAUCAUUUUCGAUAGGUAGGUGUGCAGGUUCUGCGCGUUGAGGGAAUGGCCGUAGGUUGAGUAGUUUUCUUCGAUACUCAGGAAGUUUAGGACGCGGUCGAUGUAUUGCAUAUCGGACACGUCGCCGCCAAAACCAAUGACGGUGGAGUUGUCGAAGGAGCGUAGGCGUUUUAUGUCCGUGAACCGGGCGAGGGAACCGUAGGAUGCUAAAUUAUCUGUUGCAAUUGCUACGCCGCCGUUGAACUUGACGGCGAUUACUGAUGUUCCUGUUACUGUCGGUGACUGUGUAUGUGUCUGAGGAGCGGAGGUUUGGAGAUAUGAAUGGUCGUAAGAGCCGUAGACGUCGUUGCUGGGUCGUCCCCAUGCUUGAGGGAAGUGGUUCAUGAUGGGUCGAUGUGGAACUGCUACUGCAAGUAAGAUCUCUGAUUUUGAAAUUGUAGAGAUAUAUAAGCGUAGUUGACGAGAGUUGA
rnacentral:sRNA from 2 species